AGAACAGAAUCUUCAUCAUCACAUAAGAUUAAACAACAAUGAACAACAUCAUCAUCCUCAUCUGGACUCUCUGUAUAUGUAUUCAAGGUUUCAGUGGGCAGGUGACUGUGACUCAGACUCCCUCUGGAAAGAUGGUUCAGAUUGGUGAAUCUGUCACUAUAAACUGCAAAACAAACACAGUAGUGGAUAAUGGCUGUGUAGGUUCAUAUACUUGCAUGGCCUGGUACCAGCAGAAACCUGGAGAAGCUCCUAAAUGCUUGAUUCAUUCAGCAAAUCAAAAAGAGUCAAACACACCAUCUAGAUUCAGUGGCAGCGGAUCCAGAACUGAUUUCACUCUGACCAUCAGUGGAGUCCAGACUGAAGAUACAGGAGAUUAUUACUGUCAGAGUUACCACUGGAUAAACAGUAAAAGUGUAUUCACACAGUGA